CGGCGGCGGCGGCGGCAGCAAUAUGUCUCCCUACGUCUCUCAGUCCCUGCUUAGCUCAGCCGCUCUGUGAACGGGAACAAGUAAACCAGUCAUGCUGCAGGUGAAGAGAAGAAGGACGAGGCACAAGCAAAUAAGUAAAGUCCAAAUAUCAGGAUAAGACCACCCUGAUGCAGAGCACUUUCUCACCAGAGGGUCAUGCAUCAUCUGGUUGCAGGCUGCACCUGAGACACUGGAACUGCUGCCGCCGUCACUGCUGCCAACCAUGGACACCCUCCUAGAACGCUGCAGAUGGGGCUUGGCCUUGGAACAGGUUGGGUCCCUUGCCAUACAUGUGUCUGUUUCCCUUGCAGGCAGGUUGCAACUCGUCAGGGAUACCAAAGAGCAUGGCUAUUCCAACCCCCAGUGAUCCUCCUCGGUUUCCAUUCAGGUCCAAUCCAGGGAGCAGUUCCCCAAGGCAGCCUGUAUCUCAACCUCACCCCUGCGAGGGCAGGAUGAGGAAUGGAUUUUGUGUCUCUGACUUCUGCGCAAACUGCCUCUGUUCCCUUUCCAUCCGAGGGACAUUGGCAAUAUACAUGUCCAGACAA